UAGUCAGACCUAGUCACAAAAAGUCCCAAAAUGGCUGCAGUCAAUCAAAGACGCUAAAUGACGGGGAAUUAUUAAAACGACAUUGGAUGGACCGUGAAGGGAUUGAAGGUUGAGUUGGUAAGGGAUGCAAUAACGUCCCCAACCAACCGAAACAAUCCAAUAAUGCCGGAAUUAAAAUGUUUGGCAACACUCCCGUAUUUGGCUAAAAUGCAGCUCUGUAACGCAGAUAAUUUAGGGAUAUCAGAGAAACUAUCCACCAAACCAUCAAUGCGCUCCGUAGACCCCGUAAAAUCCAUCAGUUUAUCCGGUUUCCUUUAGACAAUCGCCAGCAACAAAGAAUCAAAGCCAAAUUCAUGGAAAUUGCAGGUAUACCCGGUGUGAUUGGUGCCAUUGAUGGGACGCACAUUAAAAUAAUUGCACCUUCUCAGGAUGAAGAUAUCUUUGUCAAUCGGAAAAAGCCGUAUUCCAUCAAUACACAAAUUGUCUUUGAUGCACGUUACAAUAUACUAGACAUUGUUGCAAAAUGGCCCAGAUCAACACACGAUUCCCGAAUUUUAAUGGAGAGUGGAUUGAUGCAGCUUUUCGAGCAGCACCAUGUACCAGCUGGAUGUCACUUGCUGGGGGACAGUGGGGCUCCUGACACCUUACCUCAAUCCACAGCCGGGACCACAGCUCAGCUAUAACAGAGCACACAAGAGGACACGCAGUGUUGUGGAGAGAGGAACUGGCCAAAUGAAAUGCAGAUGUGCUACACGGUGAAAUCAGACUACGCCCAGAGAGAGCCAGCAGAGUUAUCACUGUGUGUGGUAUUCUUCACAACCUUUGCCAACAAAGCCAGAGGAUGAUAGUAAUGAUGAUGAAGGUGACGAUGGUGAUGAUGAUAACGACAAUGUGUUCCACUGGGAUGAAGUGGAACAAAGUGGACUGCCAUACAGGGAUCACUUUGUGAAUACACAAUGAACACGCAUUUUCUCCAUCAGGGGUGAGGUAGUGGCACCUGCAGCAGAAAGGAGAGGGGAGGCAGGAGGUGACAGAGGCUCACAGCCACUGGAGGAAGGCGCUGCAGCUGGAAUAGGAGCUUCAGGAAGAGGAAG